rfam:Triticum aestivum genome assembly, contig: Triticum_aestivum_CS42_TGACv1_scaffold_361408_4DS
GAACUAAUCCCUCCGUUUCAAAUUACUCGUCGCUGUAAUGGAUGUAUCUAGAACUAAAAUACAUCUAGAUACAUCCAUACGUGCGACAAGUAAUUCGGAACGGAGGAAGUACUAC